UACAGAGGUCCCAAGCGUUGUUCGGAUUCACUGGGCGGAAAGGGUGCGUAGGCGGUCGGGUAAGUCUGAUGUGAAAUCUCACAGCUUAACUGUGAAACUGCAUUGGAUACUAUCCGGCUAGAGGAAUGGAGGGGAGACUGGAAUACUUGGUGUAGCAGUGAAAUGCGUAGAUAUCAAGUGGAACACCAGUGGCGAAGGCGAGUCUCUGGACAUUUCCUGACGCUGAGGCACGAAAGCCAGGGGAGCAAACGGG
rnacentral:rRNA from 1 species